CAGUGUUACAGCUCUUUCAGAAUUUGUCUAGCAGGCUUUCCAGU
rnacentral:snRNA from 1 species